UACAAAGGGCAUUUGGUGGAUGCCUUGGUAUCAGGAGGCGAUGAAGGACGCGACACACUGCGAUAAGUUGCGGGAAGCUGUGAGUAAGCUUUGAUCCGCAAAUUUCCGAAUGGGGAAACCCCCUCUUUAAGAGGAUUAUAUACUGAAUACAUAGGUAUAUGAGGCGAACCUGGGGAACUGAAACAUCUAAGUACCCAGAGGAAAAGACAUCAACAGAGAUUCUGCUAGUAGUGGCGAGCGAACGCGGAACAGGCCAGCAUUUAUAGAUAUUUAAGUAGAAUAACCUGGAAAGGUUAACCUAAGAGGGUGAUAGUCCCGUAUAUGUUUGGAUAUUUAUAAGUCUUGAGUAGGGCGAGGCACGUGAAACCUUGUCUGAAUUUGGGAGGACCACCUUCCAAGCCUAAAUACUCCCUGAUGACCGAUAGUGAACAAGUACCGUGAGGGAAAGGUGAAAAGCACCCCGAUAAGGGGAGUGAAAUAGACCUGAAACCAAAUGCCUACAAGCAGUCGGAGCCUCUUAUGAGGUGACGGCGUACCUUUUGUAUAAUGGGUCAGCGAGUUUCUGGUUACAGCAAGCUUAAACCGUUAGGUGUAUGCGUAGCGAAAGCGAGUCUGAAUAGGGCAUAUAGUUGUAAUCAGAAGACCCGAAACCGAGUGAUCUAGCCAUGGCCAGGUUGAAGGUACGGUAACACGUACUGGAGGACCGAACCCACGCCUGUUGAAAAAGUCGGGGAUGAGCUGUGGCUAGGGGUGAAAGGCCAAUCAAACUCGGAGAUAGCUGGUUCUCCGCGAAAUCUAUUGAGGUAGAGCGUUACAUAUUACCUUCAGGGGUAGAGCACUGGAUGGACUAGGGGAGCCCAAAGCUUUACCAAAUCCAACCAAACUCCGAAUACUGAAGAGUACAGUGUAGCAGACAGACAGUGGGUGCUAAGGUCCAUUGUCGAGAGGGAAACAGCCCAGAUCACCAGCUAAGGCCCCUAAAUCGUGGCUAAGUGGUAAAGGAUGUGGAGAUUCCAAAACAACCAGGAGGUUGGCUUAGAAGCAGCCAUCCUUUAAAGAAAGCGUAAUAGCUCACUGGUCUAAUAGAAACUCUGCGCCGAAAAUGUAACGGGGCUCAAGCCACGUGCCGAAGCUGUGAGUGUGUAAUUAUUUACACGCAGUAGCGGAGCGUUCCGUAAGUCUGUGAAGGAUAUAAGGUGACUUUAUCUGGAGAUAUCGGAAGUGCGAAUGCUGACAUGAGUAGCGACAAACAGUGCGAGAAACACUGUCGCCGAAAGUCCAAGGUUUCCUGCGCAAGGUUAAUCCACGCAGGGUAAGCCGGCCCCUAAGAUGAGAGCGAAAGCUGUAAUCGAUGGGAAUCAGGUUAAUAUUCCUGAGCCUGCUAGUAGUGACGAAUGCGAGAUGUUGUCUGAUCUUAUUGGAUUGAUCAGGCUUUUUGAACAUUCCAGGAAAUAGCUCUAGCAUAUAGACCGUACCCGAAACCGACACAGGUGGACUGGUAGAGUAUACCUAGGCGCUUGAGAGAACGAUGCUGAAGGAACUAGGCAAAUUGCUCGCGUAACUUCGGAAGAAGCGAGACCAUUCUUUGGGAAACCAUUGAAUGGUGGCACAGACUAGGGGGUAGCGACUGUUUAGUAAAAACACAGGGCUCUGCGAAAUCGAAAGAUGACGUAUAGGGCCUGACGCCUGCCCGGUGCCGGAAGGUUAAAAGGAGAAGUGAGAGCUUUGAAUUGAAGCCCCGGUAAACGGCGGCCGUAACUAUAACGGUCCUAAGGUAGCGAAAUUCCUUGUCGGGUAAGUUCCGACCUGCACGAAUGGCGUAACGACUUCCCCGCUGUCUCCAGCAUCGACUCAGCGAAAUUGAAUUCCCCGUGAAGAUGCGGGGUACCCGCGGUCAGACGGAAAGACCCUAUGAACCUUUACUGCAACUUUGCAGUGGCAUCUGAAGAAUUCUGUGUAGGAUAGGUGGGAGGCUUUGAAACUGAAGCGCCAGCUUUAGUGGAGCCAACCUUGAAAUACCACCCUGAAUCCUUUUGAUGUCUAACUGAGUUCGGUUAGCCCGAACCAGGACCCUGCAUGGUGGGCAGUUUGACUGGGGCGGUCGCCUCCUAAAUGAUAACGGAGGCGCGCGAUGGUGGGCUCAAGUCGGUCGGAAACCGACUGUUGAGUGCAAUGGCAUAAGCCCGCCUGACUGUGAGAGUGACAGCUCGAGCAGAGACGAAAGUCGGCCAUAGUGAUCCGGUGGUUCCACGUGGACGGGCCAUCGCUCAACGGAUAAAAGGUACUCUAGGGAUAACAGGCUGAUCUCCCCCAAGAGUCCACAUCGACGGGGAGGUUUGGCACCUCGAUGUCGGCUCAUCACAUCCUGGGGCUGGAGCAGGUCCCAAGGGUUCGGCUGUUCGCCGAUUAAAGUGGUACGUGAGCUGGGUUUAGAACGUCGUGAGACAGUUCGGUCCCUAUCUGCCGUGGGUGUUUGAGACUUGAAAGGAUUUGUCCCUAGUACGAGAGGACCGGGAUGAACAAACCUCUGGUGAACCGGUUGUCGCGCCAGCGGCACCGCCGGGUAGCUAAGUUUGGAAUGGAUAACCGCUGAAGGCAUCUAAGCGGGAAACCAGCCUUAAAACUAGGUCUCGUAGGGCAGUCCAAGACCAGGACAUUGAUAGGUCAGGUGUAAAAGCGUGGUGACACGUUUAGCUAACUGAUCCUAAUCGCCCAUUUUUUUCAUGUAUUU
rnacentral:rRNA from 1 species